rnacentral:rRNA from 1 species
GACGAACGCUGGCGGCGUGCUUAACACAUGCAAGUCGAACGGAAAGGCCCUUCGGGGUUCUCGAGUGGCGAACGGGUGAGUAACACGUGGGUGAUCUGCCCUGCACUUUGGGAUAAGCCUGGGAAACUGGGUCUAAUACCGAAUAGGACCACGCGCUUCAUGGUGUGUGGUGGAAAGCUUUUGCGGUGUGGGAUGGGCCCGCGGCCUAUCAGCUUGUUGGUGGGGUAAUGGCCUACCAAGGCGACGACGGGUAGCCGGCCUGAGAGGGUGACCGGCCACACUGGGACUGGGAUACGGCCCAGACUCCUACGGGAGGAAGCGGUGGGGAAUAUUGCACAAUGGGCGAAAGCCUGAUGCAGCGACGCCGCGUGAGGGAUGACGGCCUUCGGGUUGUAAACCUCUUUCAAUAGGGACGAAGCGCAAGUGACGGUACCUAUAGAAGAAGCACCGGCCAACUACGU